UAGUCCACGCCGUAAACGAUGUCAACUAGCCGUUGGGAGUUAUCUUAGUGGCGAAGCUAACGCGAUAAGUUGACCGCCUGGGGAGUACGCGCGCAAGCGUAAAACUCAAAGGAAUCGACGGGGGCCCGCACAAGCGGUGGAGCAUGUGGUUUAAUUCGAUGCAACGCGAAGAACCUUACCAGGCCUUGACAUCCUGUGAACUUUCUAGAGAUAGAUUGGUGCCUUCGGGAAUACAGUGACAGGUGCUGCAUGGCUGUCGUCAGCUCGUGUCGUGAGAUGUUGGGUUAAGUCCCGCAACGAGCGCAACCCUCAUCCUUAGUUGCCAUCAGGUUUGGCUGGGGACUCUAAGGAAACUGCCGGUGAUAAGCCGGAGGAAGGUGAGGAUGACGUCAGGUCCUCAUGGCCCUUACGGGCUGGGCUACACGCGUGCUACAAUGGCGGCUACAAUGGGAUGCAAUAGGGUGACCUGGAGCUAAUCCUCAAAGGCCGUCUCAGUUCGGAUUGUU
rnacentral:rRNA from 1 species